rnacentral:lncRNA from 1 species
AUGCAGCAUCCCCGCGGAGGGAUGCAGAACUUCUGGAGCACACGACACUUCACCCCGGCACCCACCGCCACGUACGCGCCGCCGCAGAUGCCCCACGCCCCGCGACAGCCUCAUCCAGAGAAAGCCAUUUCGGGAGCCGCAGGUGACAGUCCAUCCAUCCGCCUGGCACACUUCGCCAGGAAGCCGGGCGACAGCGGGAGGAAUUUCUGCCCCAACUUCGGAUGGUGUGCCCAUAUGUAUGAUUUGCUGCCAUCGGUUCUGCAGUGUCCUUCCAUUUCCUGUCUCUGAAGCGUUCAGCAUGCGGCCACAGAGCGCCAAAGCCGGGUAGAGCCUGUGUAAGGACACACGUAUGGAGGAGUCCAUCACUGCUUCCCCACUCGAGGGACAGGUCAUUCAUGUCCUCCUUACCUGUCCUGCCCACGUGGUGCUGGGAGAAGAGGGACUGGCCUUACCACUGACCCAAACCCAUCAUGAGGAGCACUCAUGACUACCCACCAGCUGAGCACCUGGUUCCCAAGAGACACCAGCCCCUGCCAUCAUCCCACUCUGGCCAUAGGGCAUUUCCUAUGCUGCAUCCAUCUGCCUGCCUCAUAAUGCAUGCCUCCACAUCCUUGUGACUGACCUUGCUUGAGCAGCAUCAGCAUCAAGCUUGAUCCAUUUGGGUUUGACCUUCUUAUGGCAGUGAAAAUGCCAUUGGAGUCUACAAGACAUGGGGACACCCUAUCAGAAAUCCUGCUGUAUAUUUUUUUCCAGUCACAGAGUAGAAAAGGGGAAUAUAACACAAUUGAUGAUUAAUGUUUCAAGCAUCAAAUUUGGUACAUUCUAGGCUUAAUUGUUUAAAAACUGAGCUUCUGAAAAUCUGCUCCAGAGCGGAGAGACCUCAUGACAUCUUCUUUCCAUGCUGGAAGGGAGACCUUAAAUCAGAGAAAUAUGUAGUAUUAAUGAGAAAAAUAGCUCCUCUAAUCUGCAGCAGCAUGAUUCAUCUCUAGAACAUUUGUAGGUAAUAACCAGUCCUGUAUAUUGCUGGAGUGGUAUUUAGUUUUCAUGUCUUUCAAUAGCAUUUUUGCUUGCUUGUUUACAAGUUCAUGUGUCUCAGAUCUUUCCUUUUGUAUUUUUUUGGUUGGUUUGCUAUAUCAAAUGGAAGUGCAUAAGGAUGGAACAGUGUUAGCAUUGUUCUGGCUCUUACUGCAUCUUGAAGCCAGUUGUGCAUCUAUUGUGGAGCAGUGGCUUCAGACAACAGGGAGGGAAAAAGCUUCUACAGAUUUCUGGAUCAUGCAUUAAAAAUUAUUCUGAAAUAUUAUCAUGGAUUAGUUUAAUGCUGCUGUAGAAAAACUGUAUUUCAAUGACCUCUGAAAAGAGAAAAGAAUAGUUCAUAGGGCAUAAAUGAGCAGGGAAACUGCUAAAAAAUAAAGUAUGCAAAUUAUACA